UCUUCAUUGUUAGGGAAUUGCAAAAUUAUUUCAUUAAAUCUCUCCCAAACUUCAUAUAGAGGUUCUCCAUUGAGUUGAUGAAAAUUUGUAAUUUCAUCUUGUAAUU
rfam:Capsicum annuum cultivar Zunla-1 chromosome 3, whole genome shotgun sequence